rnacentral:rRNA from 1 species
KUUUUUUGUAUUUAAUAAAGAUUAAACCUGCUCAAUGAUAAAUUAAAUAGCCGCAGUAUUUUAAUUGUGCUAAGGUAGCAUAAUCAUUUGUCUUUUAAUUGGAGGCUAGAAUGAAUGGUUUGACGAGGAAUUAACUUUCUUUAAUUUAUUAUUAUGAAUUUAAUUUAUAGGUUAAAAAGCUUAUAUACUGUUAAGGGACGAUAAGACCCUAUAGAAUUUUAUAAAAGCAUAUAUUAUUAAUUUUGGUUUAUUUAUUUAUUAAUAAUAUAUGCUUUUAUUUAAUUGGGGUGAUUUUAAAUUUUUUUUAACAUUUAUUUGUUUAGAUUCAUUUAUAUAUGAAAUGUUGAUCUGAAUAAUUUUCAAUUAUAAGAUUAAAUUACCUUAGGGAUAACAGCAUAAUUUUUUUGGAGAGUUCAUAUUGAUAGAAAAGUUUGUGA